GCCGUUUGAGAAGCAUCGCUUGUUGUUGAAGUCAAGUGAGCCCAGUUUUAAUAUUAAACAGGGACCUGUUUCCAGGAACAUUUUGAAAAUUUUCUGGCAGAGAAGCUGCAUUCGCAGAUAAGCCGCAGGCAAUACGACAUGGCUGAUUUGUACAACAAAGGAAACCAUAAAGAAGGUCGUAAAUCCUGUGAUCCAUACUCUGGGUUUGGUAUGGUGUACGACAAAGGAGGUCCUCUUUGCCACCCAUGGGCAGUCAUUAUCUCCGUGCAGCCCACCUUUACAAUUGACCAGUGCUGGGUGCUUCUUCGACUCUGCCAGCUCCUAACAGUUUUCUGUUCAACCAGAUGACCCUGUACCGUCGAGAAGCCCAUCUUCAUCCCAUCCGAGCAUCUGUGACGGCUCUCGAUGGCAUCUUUGCACGCAUCCCAGAGCACUCACUUGCUGAGCUUGUGGCGUCCAUAACAACUUGCUUUGCUGCCAUAUUCUUGCCAGUGUUUUCGAAAAAGGACAGUGGACACUGGUGGAAAAAAUCGCCUGUCUCUGCUUCUUGCAGCACAGAGCAAGCGGCACUUCAUUUCGGGUACACCUUGUGGGGUGCCCUCCGUUAUCAGAAUCUGACACACUGCUAGUAGUGUUGGCCAGGGCAAUAUUGUGCCCUAAUGUCUCAGGUACAACUUUGAUGUCCAGGUAACACACUAGUUUCUUGAGUUUGUCCAUUGAUGAAGUCAUUUUUCCUGAAGCAUUCACAGAGCGGAAUAGCUUCCCAUUCAGUUGCCGAACCUCAACUGUCCCCUCUAUCUUUCACAAUUUCAUACGAGUUGUCGCUAUUUCCUUUUUCUGCAUAAUCACCUAGGCCACUUAGUCCACAAGCUCUGUAUUUACGUCUGUCUGUACUCCCACUCAGCUUUUUUGUACUUUAUCUCCCUGCAGAUGGCUUGCUCCUGCCAUAUGUAACUUGUUCCAAGGGGAUUUUUGAAAUCAAUAAACUGAAUUGAAUUUAAUUUUGUGCAA